rnacentral:lncRNA from 1 species
GGGAGGGAAAUUGGUUAUGUUAAAGACUGGAGAGUCUUGAACAACUUGCUUCUGUCUAUCCCAAACAUCAGUUGCAGGUUUGAUAAUUGUCUCCUUAAUUAUCUCUUGACUCUUGCUGUGAGGCAUCUGGUUGUUUUUUGCUUGUUUCAACUAGUGCUUUCACUCUCCAUUCUUGUGUUGCUUUACCUUUCUGUGUAGGUUGGGUAGCUUUGGUUAGACAGUUGUGUCCAACCUCUAAACAUUUCUCACAGUACAAAGGUUUCCACUCAUAGAUCACAUCCUGUAUGAAACUCUUUCCAUUUGGAUCUAAAAUCUCUAUUUCACUAG